rnacentral:rRNA from 1 species
UUGGAGGGCAAGUCUGGUGCCAGCAGCCGCGGUAAUUCCAGCUCCAAUAGCGUAUAUUAAAGUUGUUGCAGUUAAAGAGCUCGUAGUUGAAUUUCGGGAUCAGCAAGUUGGUCGUGCCUCUGGUACGUACUGGCUUUACUGGUUCCUCCUUCUUGAAGAACUGUAAUGUCAUUAAUUUGGUGUUGCAGGGAAACAGGACUGUUACUUUGAAAAAAUUAGAGUGUUUAAAGCAAGCUAACGCUUGAAUACAUUAGCAUGGAAUAAUGAAAUAGGACGUUUGAUCCUAUUUUGUUGGUUUCUAGGAUUGACGUAAUGAUUAAUAGGGAUAGUUGGGGGCAUUAGUAUUCAAUUGUCAGAGGUGAAAUUCUUGGAUUUAUUGAAGACUAACUACUGCGAAAGCAUUUGCCAAGGAUGUUUUCAUUAAUCAAGAACGAAAGUUAGGGGAUCGAAGACGAUCAGAUACCGUCGUAGUCUUAACCAUAAACUAUGCCGACUAGGGAUCGGAUGAUGUUAAUUUUUUAAUGACUCAUUCGGCGCCUUACGGGAAAC